rnacentral:rRNA from 1 species
UACAGAGGUCUCAAGCGUUGUUCGGAUUCAUUGGGCGUAAAGGGUGCGUAGGCGGCAACUCAAGUCAUCUGUGAAAUCUCCGGGCUUAACUCGGAACGGUCAGAUGAUACUGUUUUGCUAGAGUGCAGAAGGGGCAAUCGGAAUUCUUGGUGUAGCGGUGAAAUGCGUAGAUAUCAAGAGGAACACCUGAGGUGAAGACGGGUUGCUGGGCUGACACUGACGCUGAGGCGCGAAAGCCAGGGGAGCAAACGGG